AGAAAUUGUAAAAUACAAUGGAUCCGCCCUGGUUUCUUGCCGCCAUCAAACGAGGCUCAUGGCUCAAGGGCAUCAUGUGACAUAGAUUGAAAGAAAUUAAAUGACAAAAAUAGAGAGGAGGAGGAUGUUAAAGAAAGGGGAGAACUCACUUAGAUCUUCAUCCUUUGAGUGCAUACACUUUUUGUUGAGUAAAAGAUUUGUGAAUUUGAUGUGCAUCUUGAGCAUUGUUGGGGUGUUGAAACUGAAAGCAAAACAGCAAAGGAAGGAGAAAGGAAAAGGAUCCAGGAGCUCUGAAUUUGUUUAAUUUUCUUCAACCUGGUACCUUUAUUUUUUUAUUUUGUUGAGUUCACUGGUUCUCUAUUUGUAUCAUUGGAUUUAUUAACUGCUUGUGUGCACCUGCUGUAUCAUUUUCCUUUCAAAUGUGAUCUCUACCCAGAAAUGUGAAAUAAUCAAAUCCAUAAAAUGUAGGUCCUAAAACAGAGAAACUGCAUAGCAAUCAAAUAAAUUAAACAACAAGCAUUUUAUAAAGUGAGAGUGAUAAGUGAUAUAUUUAUCAAAAAAAAAAGUGAUAAGUGAGAGAAAGAUUAUAAAAUGAGAGUAAAAAUGAAAAAAAAAUGUCUAAUUUUAUAAGACAAUAAACAUUUUGGAAAAUAUGAAGCGAGACUAAAACAAUAAGUGUAACAGAUAAAUUAUAAUAUAAUUUUAUAUUCGAGAAAUUUAUAGAUAAAAUUCAAAAGAAAAAAUUGCUAAAAAAUAUAAAUAAAAUAAACUUUAUAGCAGUUUUUGAGACACAUAACAAAUUUUUGGCAUGGCUGUUGGGUGUUGGAAGAACGUUGCUACGGUGAUGGAGCAUAAUAUCAAUUUUGAUGUAUCAAAGCUGGUUUACGUCAAUAACAUUGCUACUGUGAUGUGGAUGUAUGCAUGCAUGUACCAACCUCGAAUCAUUAAUUAAGAUUGGGCAAUUAAAUACAAGUUUGAAAUUGGUCUAUUUCUUCAUUGGAGAGCGUUAAUU
rnacentral:lncRNA from 1 species